rnacentral:rRNA from 1 species
UACGUAGGGGGCUAGCGUUGUCCGGAAUCAUUGGGCGUAAAGCGCGUGUAGGCGGUCCGGUAAGUCCGCUGUGAAAGUCGGGGGCUCAACCCUCGGAUGCCGGUGGAUACUGUCGGGCUUGAGUACGGAAGAGGCGAGUGGAAUUCCUGGUGUAGCGGUGAAAUGCGUAGAUAUCGGGAGGAACACCAGUGGCGAAGGCGACUACCUGGCCUGUUCUUGACGCUGAGGCGCGAAAGCUAGGGGGGCAAACGGG